rnacentral:rRNA from 1 species
GGGUGACGAGCGGCGGACGGGUGAGUAAUGUCUGGGAAACUGCCUGAUGGAGGGGGAUAACUACUGGAAACGGUAGCUAAUACCGCAUAACGUCGCAAGACCAAAGAGGGGGACCUUCGGGCCUCUUGCCAUCAGAUGUGCCCAGAUGGGAUUAGCUAGUAGGUGGGGUAAUGGCUCACCUAGGCGACGAUCCCUAGCUGGUCUGAGAGGAUGACCAGCCACACUGGAACUGAGACACGGUCCAGACUCCUACGGGAGGCAGCAGUGGGGAAUAUUGCACAAUGGGCGCAAGCCUGAUGCAGCCAUGCCGCGUGUGUGAAGAAGGCCUUCGGGUUGUAAAGCACUUUCAGCGAGGAGGAAGGUGGUGAGCUUAAUACG